GAGGAGACACCCCGCCUUCAGAGAUCCAGCUCUCAGGGGAGACCCCGUAGGUCAGGGGUGGAAGUGGAGAAGAGGAGAAAACAAAAGUUCUUCAACUGGUCCCUGAAUCAGAUUUAAUAGAUCUAAAACUGUUUUAAAUAAAAGUGUUCUGUGAAAGCCAUGUCAUCACUAAUUUGAGUUUCCUAUUUAGUUCUACAACAAAUCUAUUUUGUAGGAAUUAAUUCUGCAUAACAAAAAUUCCAAGAAACGCAUCUACUACACACUAAAUUGUGUCCCCCUCAAAAUUCACAUGUCAAAGUCCUAAUCCCCAACGUGAUGGUAUUUGGAGGUGGGGCCUUUGGGAAAUUAGGUGUAAAUGAUGUCAUGAGGGUUGGCUCUCAAGAUGGGAUCAGUGUCCUUAUAAGAGGAAGUGAGACCAGAGCUCUCUCUUACUCUCUGCCAAGUGAGGACACAGCAAGAAGUUGGUCAUCUGCAAGCCAGGAGGAGCCCUCACCAGGAACCUGCACCUUGACCUUGGACUUCUCAAGCUCCCGAACUGUGAGAAAGAAAUGUCUGUUUUUUUCAGCCACCCAGGGUAUGGUAUUGUGUUACAGCAGCCCAAACUAAAACACUUACUCAAAUGUCCCCUCCGGUGUGGGGUCUAACACAGAACUGUGCUCCUGUCCCCACAUAAAAAAAAGUGUGUCAUCAGGCCACAGAAAUAUUUAAUAAGUAUGAAAAACAAAGAAUUUAAAAAUGUGUAACUCUAGAUAUUUCCAUUACUGCAUAAAACACAGCUUAAUUAAUCUCCUAUUCAUAGGUUUAUAUAUAUUGGGACUCUACUCACAACCUAUGAUACCUGUAAAACAAAUCUCAAAGAGUGUUUAAUAAAGGUUAGAGAGUUCUCCUCUAAUAAAACAAACCUAAUUAGGAUGAAUGCUGGGACACAUGUCCCAGCAAUCCAGUGAAUACCCACUAACCCUUGAGACUCAACUCAAACAGGGUCCCCUGCAAGCCGUCACCACGCCUUCCCAGGAAGGCAGACACAGCGUCCUCGGUGCUCCAUCUCCAUUUCAACAUCUAGCAAAAGCUUUUAUAUUUGUUUCUGUGUCUGUCUCCUCAACCAGACCUUGAAAUCAUCUAGAGCAGUUUGCUACUCUCUCCAGCAUCUAGAAUGGUAGCUAGCACAACGCAGGAGCCAAUGUUUGUUGAGGUGGAGCCACUCUGCUGAAUAUCAGUGGAACUCUGUCCUAUCUUGCAGCUUUUCUGUAAAUCUGAAAUCACUCCAAGUUUUUUUUUUAGAUGCCAGCAGUGACUGUUAACAGCAAUAAUCACAACUUCCUUACAUGUCAUGCAAGAUGACAAUGGCUACUAGAGAGGCUUGCUUGAGCGUUUUUCAGACGUGCUAGUAGGAGUUAGUAAUUUCACGUGUAACUUGAAAAAGAAUGAGUAACAAACACUUGAGAUUGGAAUCCUGUUAUUAAUUUUGGUCAAAUUAUUUUAUCUGGGUCUCGGCUCGUAAAAGGAAAUAGUAAUUCCUACUCUAUAAAGCUGCUGCGUUAAAUGAAGUAUAUGAGUAUACGUCAAAUGAGCCCUCCUAAAGACGUUUUAACCAAUGUGUUUGUGUCCUUCCCUGUACCGUGUUCCAACUGGACGAACACCUCACCGCAGGUGCGUGCAUCCUGGAACUGGUCCCACGAGCACCGGCUGUGAAGCUACCCCUCAAUCCCCACUGGAGCUAUGACUACCUAUAAAAUAAAGAAACCCUACGUGUGUGUUGUUAGAUGCCCACCCUGCCAAGAUGUCCUAUCCAGAACUCGCCAAUGAAAUAAAUGGGCUUCUCAAAACUCAACGCAACCGACAGGGGUCAGCAGCUCCUGACACCCACCUCCACCAGACUGAGCUCCGAAAGCGCAAGCACAGUCCGGACGCGCUCGCUGGCUGCGAGAAUCGCUCCUGCUCGCCCCUACGACUGACUCCUCCGGCUCACCGUCUUCCCUCUGGGAGGAAGGGGAGGGACUUCCUGUUUUUCCGUUGCGCGACUUCCGGCAGUUCCCAGGACGACUGCGUCGUGGACGGGUCGCCGGGCACCGGAACCAAAACGCAGAAGCUCGCAACUGGCUUAGUAAAACUAACGUCGAGUUCCCGAUUUUUGCCCCGAGUGGCCAACGGACCCGUGUGCCGCCUCGUUUUCGGUCCAUCAGCCCUUGCCGGAAGUUACUCCGAGAUGAGACAGGAAGUCCCACCCCUUCCCAAGAGAGGAAAAACGGAAAGCCGAGGUUGUCAAUCUAAAGAAGGGGUGACAGUCAUCGGGCUCGAGGGCGGGCGGUGUUGGAGUGGGAGGGCCACCAGGGAUUUACAGAGUCCCUUUGCGGGUCCCCGCGCCCCGGGCGAUCCCGCCCCCUGCUUCUCCCGGCCCUCCUCGCCCCACCCCGCCGCCCGCCCGCCAUGAAGAGCCCCGGGGGCCCGGGGAGAGACACGGACGCGCCCCGGCGGUCCGAGAGCCACUGAGGUCUACGCCGGGCCCGCCUGCUGCUCGGCGUUGCUCAGGCCUCCACGGAGAGGACCGAGAUCGGUCUGCCGCGCCGGGCGUGGACGCGGCUCCCGAUGAUAAGGAAAGUCUCCCCAGUGAAACCAAAUCGGGAUCCUCGGAGUCACAGGCCCACGGAAGCCCCUCGCCCAGCUCCAAUGCUAACGGGAGGCAGUAGAAGCUGAAGACGCUUUGGGUGUCUAGACGCACCGCACGGAUCGACUUUAUAAACGCCAGCGGCAAAGCACAGGGAUUGAGAGGGAGGAAGGAAGGCACGACCCGGUCUUAGUAUUCACGGCCCACCGGCCCCUUGUGCAGGAAAAUCCGCGGACCUCGCGUUUAGAGCCCUUUCUUUUGAAACUCAGAUCUUAAAUAGGAUGACCACGGCCUGAAAAGUGCAAUGACAGAGCCACCUUGUGUAGAGACGGACAGCGACGUGGCGUCAGAGUGUGAAGAUAGGCUUGCUGAGGAAUGUUAAUUUCUCAUGUAGGCAUGGGGAAAUCUGUUAAGUAAUCAGAAUUGUAUUUAGAAAGGUAAUUUUAAGUGAAUGGGAUUUUAAAAUAAUGGCCUGAUAAUUAUGAUAGGCUUUCUAACCAAAUCAUCCCUCGAGGCCAAUUUCCACUCAGUUCUAUUUAAAUCAGAAUGUUCACCAUAACAUAGUGUUUUAUAAAGAACUCCUUACCGGCGUUAUCUGAUUGAAUUCUCAUUGUAAACCACCUGAAUUCUCAUGUCAUCCACAGUAGGAAAUUGUAGUUUAGAAGAGUAGACCCUUCCAAGACCACACAGCUAGUAAAAGUUGAACUCAGCUUUAAGUUCCAGUCAACCUUGUACUCUCACCAUGCUGACUCAGUAAACUUACAAGUUGUAGAGAAACGCAGGGAAAAUAGUUCUCAGAACAGGUGACCAGCCUGUCAAUGUUAUAUUUAUUCCAUUAACCAACAUUUAUUGGGUUUUUAUUGAAUAAUAGAUAAGUCAAACUAGACUGCCUUCAAAGAGUUCGCUUGAAAUUUACUUAGAAUUUACUUGAAAACGUAGUACUUAUUAAUACAAUCUUUAAUGUCUAUUUCAACAUUGUUAUUGUAUGACAAGGUGAUAAAUUUCUCAACAGUAACAGUAGCUAGCACAAUUCUCCACAUGGAUCAGGCUUCCUAUUGGUCUUUGUGUGAUAUAUCUUGCUACCUUUCUUACCUGGGGGAUUUCGUUAACACUUCAUCCUUCUUUGAGCAGUGAAAUAAAAUUGCAAGUUUAUUUUUCA